CUAGACAGGAGGGCUUUGAUCCCACGAAAACCUAGUUAACAGCUAGGCACCCAAGCCAGCGGGCUUCUAUCCG
rnacentral:tRNA from 1 species